UUCUGGCCAGUCGUGUAUAGUGGAAUUAAAAAUUGAAUUUAUUAUUCCCAGCGGAAGUGUAGCUGUUCUUCACUUCUUCUUCAUCAUCACUCACUCCGUCCUUUCUCUCUUAUUUGGUUUUGAUUAUUAAGGACGGGGAAGAGAAGAUAGACUCCAAAUUAUCGGGUUCCGUUUAGGUACGCUGGUCUUACAUUUUAGUAUCUCCACAUAUAUAUAUUUUCCAAUUAAGAUUUACGCAUUGAUUAUAAUCUCUAGAUCCCUAAUUGAUCUAGACAUAACAUAAUUUCUUAUUCAUGUUGGCCGCUUGGCAAUGGAAAAUAGGAAUCUUGUGAAUUCCAUCAAACUUAUGGUUUUGCGUCCGUUUGAAUCUAGACGCUCCAUCAAAAUAAUUGUCAUAGUUUUUGUGCUUGUGAUGCUAUGUUCUUAUUUGGCAUUUAAACCUGGUAAAGCUCAUUUAUCAUACUUUACUGUCGUUUUGGAUUGUGGAAGCACUGGAACCCGUGUAAAUGUGUACGAAUGGUUAGGAAAUAGCACAAGGGAUAAUGGACAUCCAGUGUUGUUGAACUCGUUUCCUGAUCAUUCACCCAAUAAUUCUCUCCACAAAGAUGCUUGUUUAUACCACUGCAUGCAAACUGAACCUGGUUUGGAUAAGUUUGUUCACAACUUUACCGGACUACACUCUGCAUUGGAACCACUACUUCAUUGGGCAGAACAACAAAUUCCCUCUGAAAGACAUCAAGAUACUUCUAUCUUUCUGUUAGCCACUGCUGGGCUGAGAAGAUUGCCGAGUCAUGAUGCAGCUUGGAUUUUGGAAAAUGCAGAGGCUAUUGUAAGGGAACUCCCGUUUAUGCGUAGGAAAACUUCUAUAAGGAUACUAACUGGACAGGAAGAGGCUUAUUAUAGUUGGAUCGCUCUUAACUACAAAAUGGGGACACUGAACAGUUCUUCCAGUUUAUCCACUUUAGGAGUUCUAGAUCUGGGGGGUUCGUCGUUGCAGGUAGUAAUGGAAAUCGAAGAACUGACGGACGAUCAGAAUUCACUGCAGCUAAAAAUUGAUUCAGUUCAGCACCAAAUUUUAGCAUAUUCACUGCCCAGAUUUGGUCUAAACGAGGCAUUUGAAAGGACAAUUAUCAUGCUUAGUGAAGAGACUUCACUCACAGAGAGUAUUGAUGGCAGACUUCAACUCAGACAUCCAUGUCUGAGUUUGGGAUUUGUUCUGAACCAUACUUGCGAUGGCUGUUACCUACCAAACAUCUCUACUUCAAACAAUGUAAUUGGUCAAUUUCAGAGAAAUGCGUCCACCUUGUUUUCUCUGAUAGGGGAUUCAAACUGGAAGCAGUGUAAGAGAAUUGCUAAGGCUGCUGCAACCCAUUCAAACAAUUUUGAUUGGUCACGAUUAACUAAGGGUAAGAACUGCAAAGAACGAUCGUCAUCCUCUAACAGCACAAAUUCAAAUUUGAUAUCCGCCCCUCAUCCAGUUUCACGGUUUCAUGCUUUAUCUGGAUUUUUUGCCGUUUACAGUAUGUUAGAUUUGAAUCCAAGAGCUAAUUUGACAAAAAUUUGGAAGAAAGGCGAGCAAAUAUGUUCUGGGUCGUGGAUUGACUCAAAGAAAAUUUCUGGAAACAGAAAGUAUGCGGAUCAAUUCUGUUUUCGAGUUCCAUAUUUGGCAUCUCUCCUUGAGGAUACAUUAUGUUUGGGGGACACAGAAAUUAACUUUGGCCCUGGAGAUGUUUCUUGGACGUUAGGAGCUGCACUGGUGGAAGGAGAGCACAAAUGGCUAAGUAAUAAAGAACCUCAGGCUGGUAGUUAUAGUCUGAAGCUUACUGAGAUGGCUCUAUGGGUUUCUGAAUGGUGAAUCUGAGGAUCCAAAGAUUUCUUGUAACAAGGGAUCAAACAAGGAGAAUAUCCGAGGGGAAUGCUGGCGAAGGGAUAGAAGCAGAACGAGGUAGUUGGUCAGUAGCUUCGUGACGCCAGUUGUUAUGGCUGACGUAUUACGUUGUAAACCUUAAUAACUGGCACAUAAUGAGUUUUGAUGGAAAAGACUACUAAAGUUGUCACUAAUUGAGGUUUGUUUACACUCAUUUGACCGACUGGUUGCAGCGGCAAACCCUAGUUGUAUUACCAUACUAGUGAUGGAAUUGUGUCCACUGACCUGAGUUCACCAGGUCUGAACUAGUCCAAUGAUGUUGACUUACUCACCAACUUUUUACUGUCUAUUUAUUUAGGUUCAGAUCCCACUGGAUUAGUUACUUUAUCUAUUGCCGUCCAGUAAUUUAGAUUUAUAAAUGGAUAACCGAAUCCAUUUAUCCGUCUGAAAAUUUCAGAUAUGAUCCGAAGUUUUUGGAUGCCCGAUACAUAUAUCGGGUAAUGUUAUCAGAAAUUUCUCUGUAUC